CAUCGAUUGGCAUAUGCAUGUUUAAACUUACAUAUUAUACUUAUACUAAUAUUCGUGCACAUCAUAUGUAGCGUCACAAGUCAAUUAGGCAGCCAAAUAGCCGAAGCCAAAAUUUAUAGUAAAACACACAACAACAACAUUUCCAUACAUGAGCGCAAGCGCAAGCAAAGUGGAUUCAUUCAUAAAAGCAGAUACCAUAACAUGCCCUAGCAUGCGUUUGCCAACAAGAGUUUUUUCGCGACGAUUGCUAAAACUAGAAAUCAUAAAUUGAAAAACAUUUUUAUUUUCUUUCUGAAAGGAAAAAGUGACAACCUCGCAAAGCAUUGGUUGUCCGUGCCAAUGGAGAUUUCACAUGAAGCAAUGAGUGUACAUAUUUACAUACAUAUGUUGCAGGUAGACAAGCAUUAUGCGUUCUUUCAUAUUUGUUUACACUCACACAUAAUUAUAUAUGUAUAAAUGGAGGACUGCUUGGUCUUAAAGGGGACAAAAUAGAUAUUUAUGAAUAAAUAAAAAUUUUUUUAAGAAAUACAAAAUUCACGAUAAUUUUUGAACAGACCUCGUACAUAAAUAUAUUAUUAUUAAAACAUAUAUAUAUUAUACAUUAAUUAAAUAUAAUAUUAAGGUAAUAAUACAAACCUUACUUUAUUAUAAAUGCAAAACAACGUAUCAUCAAAAUAUUCAAAAUUGUUAUUGAUUACGCCCCUAUUUCAUAUAUAUAUGUACAAAAUUUUAAGUUUCUGCUAUAAGAUAUAAGCAUAAUUCAAAUUUCGUCUCAAUACGAGUAGUAAAUAAAUGUUUAAAAUCGCGUGAAUACUUUAAAUAAAAGGCGAUAUGCUUCGUAUAAGUACGCAAAAGUUUAUUGUUGACAUCCAUUAUUAUAAUUCAUAUAAAUGGUAAUCUUAUAUAAUAUAUUAUAUUUUCAUAUAUAAUUAAUUAUAAAAGAAGAGUUUUAAAUACGGAACGAUGUCGAUCGAAAUAGCUGCGCGCGGAGCUGUCGUAUCGAAUGAGGAAAAAUAUUGAUGUGAUGCUCUUAUUCGGUCGGUCGAUGGAAAUAUUGUACGGGUUUUACUUUGGUUAUUA